rnacentral:rRNA from 1 species
GAGGGGUUCCACACGUACCCAUCCCGAACACGACCGUUAAGCCCUCCAGCGCCGAUGGUACUUGGACCGCAGGGUCCUGGGAGAGUAGGACGUCGCCAAGC